GAUGAAGAACGCAGUGAAAUGCGAUAAGUAAUGCGAAUUGCAGAAUUUCCGUGAGUCAUCGAAUCUUUGAACGCACAUUGCGCCCACUGGUAUUCCGGUGGGCAUGCCUGUUCGAGCGUCAAUAUCCUCCCUCAAACCCCGGGUUUGGUGUUGGACCCAAGUUGUGUGAACAACUGGUCUCAAAGACAAUGACGGCGUCCGUGGGACCCUCGGUGCAACGAGCUUUUAGGAGCACGCAUCGAGUUGCAAGGACCUUCCGGGCCGGUCUCCUUUACCAUUUUACAAGGUUGACCUCGGAUCAGGUAGGAAUACCCGCUGAACUUAAGCAUAUCAAUAAGCGGAGGA
rnacentral:misc_RNA from 1 species